GACAGAGGUGCCAAGCGUUAGGCGGAAUCACUGGGCUUAAAGCGUGUGUAGGCGGGUCGUUAAGUACCUUGUGAAAUCCCCCGGCUCAACCGGGGGAACGGCUGGGUAUACUGGCGAUCUUGAGCGACCUAGGGGCAGUCGGAACAAGUGGUGGAGCGGUGAAAUGCGUAGAUAUCACUUGGAACGCCAAUGGUGAAAACAGACUGCUGGGGGUUCGCUGACGCUGAGACACGAAAGCCAGGGGAGCAAACGGG
rnacentral:rRNA from 1 species